rnacentral:rRNA from 1 species
GCCUACGGGGGGCAGCAGUGAGGAAUAUUGGUCAAUGGUCGGGAGACUGAACCAGCCAAGCCGCGUGAGGGAUGAAGGUACAGAGUAUCGUAAACCUCUUUUGUCAGGGAACAAAGGCGGGGACGUGUCCCCGGAUGAGUGUACCUGAGGAAAAAGCAUCGGCUAACUCCGUGCCAGCAGCCGCGGUAAUACGGAGGAUGCGAGCGUUAUCCGGAUUUAUUGGGUUUAAAGGGUGCGCAGGCGGUCUGUUAAGUCAGCGGUCAAAGCCCGGGGCUCAACCCCGGCCCGCCGUUGAAACUGGCAGG